UACGUAGGUGGCAAGCGUUGUCCGGAUUUACUGGGCGUAAAGAGCGCGCAGGCGGUCUUUUAAGUCGAAUGUGAAAGCCCCCGGCUUAACUGGGGAGGGUCAUUCGAUACUGAUCGACUUGAAGGCAGGAGAGAGAAGCAGAAUUCCCGGUGUAGUGGUGAAAUGCGUAGAGAUCCGGAGGAACACCAGUGGCGAAGGCGACGUCCUGGGCUUGACCUGACGCUGAGACGCGACAGCACGGGGAGCGAACGGG
rnacentral:rRNA from 1 species